GUGUGUGUGUGUGCUGGGGUGAAGGUUGUCGCGAUAUUUGUUGAGGCACUCUGGAUGACGAGUCUCUGUUUGCUGUAGCAGCCGUGCAGGGAAUUUGGCAGCUUCAGUUGAAGCAGUUCAACUAAGGCAGGCUGUGUUCAAGCGUGCUCUCUCUCACGCUCUGAGCCGGGCCCAACGCCGCCGCCGUACCGGGCUGACCUGACGCUGACCUGGUGCUGGUUGAAUAUUGCCUGGCUGUCCGAGAGCACCGCAGACUCCCUCAGACAUAGAGGGAUUAAGCGGAAACAGCUGAGAGAGAAAUAAAAGAGAGAGAGAGAGAAAGAGAGAGAGAGAGAGCCUAGCAGAACGUGUGAGCCAGUGAGAAAUGAGAAGUGAGGAAUUGAUCCAGAAAAGGCAAGAGGGAGAGAAGGAGCGAAGGCAAGGGAGGGCUUGGCGAGAUGGGUUCAACUGGUGAAGGGGUCUGUACCUCAAGUGAAAAUAUUUUCUCUGCAAACGGCCGCAAUCAUAGCCGUAUAGUGACCAAACUGCAAAAAAGGAAAGCUAUAGAGAGAGAGAGAAAGGAGAAAGAGGGAGAGAGUGACAAGCUAUGGAACAUUUGGAAAGGAAAGCACAAUAAUCUUUCACUAUGUCAUUCGUUUAAGAGAGAGAGAAAGUCCAGUCCUGCCACACUUUUGGGUGAUGCUUUGAGUAGUGUUCUACUUACUCACUUACUUACUUGUGUCCAACCGGCCUGCUAAUUUCUCUUAACUGCACCCUUGAUUAGGACAUAAUUACACUGUGGUUCUGCUGUGAGCUCAUUGGUGAUGACUCAUGUGCUAAACUAAUGCCUCAUGACAUUUAAUAUAGCCUACCCUGGGUUUAAUGCAACACCACUAAUUCAAUUAAUUUAAGCAGUUUGUGUGCAGCAGGUGAUCCUCCCUUUAAAAGAGGUUUCUGAGAAAACACGGUACUUUUUUUUCCGUUUACGCUCAGAGGCGUGUUUGCAAAGUUUUCACAAUAGAGAGCCAGGUUUUAAAAAACAACAUGUGUGUGUGAGUCUUAGCCUCGGAGCGUGUGUGAGAUCGGGACUGGGACUGGGGCUGGAGCUCAGUGGGGUUCUCCCAUGCAGGCCUGUGUGGCCUCCAAGCUCUUUGCUCCGAGCAGCUGAUCUCAGCUCCUACUACCAGAGCCUCCUCGGCUCCCUCAGCCCCUCUUCCUCCCUCUGUUUGUGUUUGAUUCAGAAUCAACUAGGCAUGGUUUACCAGCGAUGGGCCUCUUUACAUUAGAUUACUUUACUUUAGAUUAACAAAAAAAAAAAAAAUUCUAAAUUCUGAUUCUUGAGAUGUCAGUGCUCCUUCUCAUUGAUUUCUGGUCACCAGUUCAUCCUGAUUAAUAACCAUAAUAAUAAUAAUAAUAUCUCACUCAUUUCAGUUUUUCUUCAUUUGCUUGUUUUUGUACAUGUAACGGUAAACCUGUGGAUUGUGGGGAAACGAGAGCUCGCCCUAAGCCCCUGCGUGAGGUGACCAAGGUAGAUGGGCAUCGCUAGACCAGCAGGUCUUAGUAGGUGCAGGCAGAGGCCAAUGGGGAGUCUUGGACAUAGUUCUCAUUUACUGUGGAAAAAAAAAAUAAGGUUGACAAAUUUAUGAAAGCUUUGUGUUUUUUUAAAAGAAAAAUUAUUAUUUUUUAUAACUGUAUCUGAUGCUCCAAAAAAAGUUGCUUUUGAAAUGUAUGGUCAGAUUGCUAAAGGAGGAUUCCUGAACAGUUUUUUUUUUUCUUUUUUUGUGUUUUUGCAAAUGCUGUUAUGUGUCCAAUGGGUCGAUGAUGUCAUCAUUAAAAAAAAUGAAGAAAAUAAAAAAAAA
ensembl:lncRNA